GACGAACGCUGGCGGCGUGCCUAAUACAUGCAAGUAGAACGCUGAAGGCGGAGCUUGCUUCUCUGGACGAGUUGCGAACGGGUGAGUAACGCGUAGGUAACCUGCCUGGUAGCGGGGGAUAACUUUUGGAAACGAUAGCUAAUACCGCAUAAGAGUAGAUGUUGCAUGACAUUUGCUUAAAAGGUGCAAUUGCAUCACUACCAGAUGGACCUGCGGUGUAUUAGCUAGUUGUUGUGGUAUCGGCUCACGAAGGCGACGAUCCGUCGCAGACAGGAGAGGGGGGUCAGCCGGACUGGGAGUGAGACACGGCACAGUGGGAUAGAGGAAGCAGCAGGAGGGAAACGUCGGGAAGGGGCGGAAGAUUGAGCGAGAUGGGCGGCGUGAGUAUAGAGGGUUUUCGGGUCGUAGAGCACUGUUGUAGGGGAGGAACGAGUGUGAGAGUGGAAAGUUCACUGUGUGACGGUAUCUGACCAGGAAGCGACGGCUAACUACGUG
rnacentral:rRNA from 1 species